rnacentral:misc_RNA from 1 species
CCGUCCCUUGCUCCUUAUCUUCACGCGCGUCUUCUUCUUCAGCCAACCGCGCCGCUUCCUGACGCGCGCCCCCUCAGUCCAUGGAGCUCCCUGCUCCUCUGCCCCAAGCUUUUUCCUCGCACGAACAGCCCUCCGCUCGGCUUCAUCUCCCUCAGGUGCCGUCGGCCGGAUCACCCAUGGCGAGUUUCCCCAGAUCGGCAUCCCUGCAGAGUCCAUGACCAAGCUCCCCCAUGGCGUCUUCCCCAUCCAUGGCGGUCCCUAUGCUCACGCCCUGAUGGCCGCCCUCUCUUUGCUCCUGGUGGUCGAGCUCGCCCCUGCCCAAGUUCGGUUGACUCUGUUUCCCUCUCUUUCUGUUGGUGGCUGGCGUCCCAU